AAAUUGCCUCUACUGGUGUUUUGUGGGUGAGCCCAGCAUAAAGCAGUGUCCAAACUCUCCUUGAACUCUGGCUAUUGGGGCUGUGCCUGCUGCCUUCUGGUACAGAACCUGUCCUUCAUCCCACCCUGGCCUUCCCCUGAAGCAAUUCCAUGCCAUUCCUUCAGGUCUUAACUUCCUUCAGAUCUUCAUGUCAGCCCUACUGCAGCGAGGGAGUCAUAAGCUGCGUGUUGUCUGCUGCGUUCCUGUACGGUACAUAAGGGAGCUCAGAAAAGCUCUGCGUUAUUUCCGACCCACACAGAGCAGUGAGCCAAACGAAUGAAGAGGAAGUGAAUGUAGCUCAACACACUGCAGUAGAAUAGACAGUAGUUCAUAUACGCAUAUGUGUAAGCAACUUUACUGAAAUUGGUCGAUUUCACGAUAUCUGAUUGGUAGACAUGAUAAUUGAUAAAGCAGUCAGGGAUUAUUUGAGAAUCUAUGUAGUGUGCAGAAUGCUUCAGGCAUUGUAUAAAGGGCUGUUUUAAAGCAGGCUCAAGUGAGGCGCUGCUAGGCUGAAAAGAACAUGUAAUUUGAGGCUGGUACAACACCCAGUGGUCAUUUAUCCAUCCUCAUAAAUUCUGGUAAAGCUAGGCUAUAUUUCUUCUGAAAUCAACUAUAAACGAUGUUGGAAAAUAUCUCUAAAUCAUUUGUAUGGGUACUUAUUUCGCUUUAAGAUUUCUUUUUUCCCCAUCCUGUUACUUCUGUGUACAACAUGCACUUCAUUAAACUCUGGCUGGUAAAUCGGAUCUUUAAAAAUCUUUUCUUCACUAUGGAUGGUUAAGCGGUGUUUUGCCAUAAUGUUUGACUUCAUCUUUGAUAAAAUAAAUGGGCAGAGCUUUAAAUGUAUAAAGCGUAGCCAACCUGCAUAGGCUGUUUAUAGGCUGGGUUAGUGAGGAUGGACAUAAUUGUAGUAUCCUGUCCACAAAAACAUGGUGAUAAAAAGAGCUACCAGCUGUGUGGGGGACAUGAAUGAGAGAAGUGGGAUAAAUAGCAUCAUGGGAGGGCUGAUCUUCUGAUGAACAGUUUGUAUCAGAAGGGCGGGAUUUAAGUUCAGUGAGGAGACAUGCAGAUCAGUGCUCUUCUGAUUCUAGAGUUCUUAAACUGUACUACUCUCAAAUGAAUCGGAGGAAAACCAAGUCCUCUUACUGGGACUCACUUAGUUUCUUUCUGGCUUAGUGUACUCAAGAAAGAUUUUUAUUUGUUUUAGGAGCCUAUAGAGACUCAAAUCUUGCACAGACCAAAGUCUGCUCAUGUCUUAUCUCUGUUUUCCCAUGACUACCUGUUUUGAGCACUUCAUUCUUCUGAGGCUGGUAAAGAAGCACAGAACAUCCAUAGUACUUUGCUUGCAAUGUUUUUUUUAUGUGAAUGGAAGUGUUGCUCUGUGAUACUAGAGCUCUCACUUAUAUUUCUGACCACUUAUUUAAACAAAAGGUUAUAAAGCUAGUGACAUCUUGGCAGAAAGAUUUCAAACACGCUUUUUUUUUUCUUUCUCCUCUCAGAUCUCUACAACUUACAUUGACUUGAAGGUAGAUAGUUCUGGCUGUCAACUGACUUCUGGCUGUCUCACUGAUUUGAAAGUCUAACGAAUUUCAAGUUUAAUAAAAUCAAUUGUUUUGAAGUUGGGUUUACUACCAGAUGAAGCAGAAGUCAACAAAAAUAUUUACUUAAAUUCUUGAUUAAGAGCAUUGAGGAACCACAGUUAAUUGUACUUAUGCUGUGUGUACAAUAUCAGUGUACCUUCCAUUAUAUGAACUGUUGUCUUAAGGCAUGUUCUAAGCAAAGGUAUUCACUGUGUUAUUCAUUAUUGUAAGUCUUCCAGCUUGUUAGUGAUGUGAAUAUAAGGUAAUAAUCAUGGUGGGUUACUCUUCCUGAAAAUAUUUGUUACUGUAUUACAAGGUGAUUUUUUAAUGACUGAAUUAUUUAUACUGUUCCUUUGAGGGCCUUACUAAACAUUAAUAAAUCAGCUUUCUGUCCUUAUAUCUCUCUCUUUCUCUGAGGUCCUGAGACAGAGAUACCCAUCUUGGUCUGAUUUGUGGCCUGAGAAGCAUGCAAAAGAACUGCAUAAUUAUGAUACUCAGUUUAUGUUUUCCAAACUGGAAAGAAAAAGAAAUUGUUGUCACAAAAAUGUAUUUCUUUUCCACGAUUGUCACUGUCUUAGUUUCAUCUGGAUGGAAAUGUUUUCCUUAGAGUGUCUGCUAUGAUGUUUUGGUUUUGGAAAAUCAUCUGCAUGUAGUUAUCAUACCCACACUCAUCCCUUCUCUACUUUUUUUUUUUUUAAAGAUAAAACUAUAUGUUUAAAAAAAGAGGAAGAUAGUUGUGACUAUAUGUAUUUAUAUUUAUUUUUAUAUAUCAGUGUAUAAAAUAAGUGAUGCACAAGCAAUUUGUUCCCACCCCCUGCCUGAUGCCCAGCUAGCCCCCUGAGCAGCGUAGAAGAGAAGGAUUCUGUCCCCCCUUCAAAACCCCUUCCGCUUGAUGUCAUAUGGUAUGGAAUAUCUCUUUGGCCAGUUUAAGUUAGUAGUCCUGUUUCUGCUCCCUCCCAGUUCCUUAUGCCCUUCGCUGUGAGUGGCCUUGGCUCUAUAUGACCCUGCUUAUCAACAACUGUGAACAUCACGGUGUUAUCAAUGUUGUUUUUCUUCUAGAACAAAACAUAAGCAUCAUACCAGACACUCUAAAAGAAAACAAUUCCAUCCCAGCUGGAAAUAAGGCAAUUGCUAAUCUAAUUCUUCAAGAGAAUCCUCCUUGGCACUGGAGCCAAUCAGUGUACAGCAACCAUUUGUCUGCUGUGUUGGGUUUUACCCUAUAUAAAAAGUGGCUGACCCACCCUUACCUGACAUAGGUUAUUUAACUUAACUCAAAUCCUCAGUUAAGCUUUUAUGGUUAUGGAUUAGAAAACAGAUAACCAUCAAACAAAACAGCAAUCUAGCAUAAUGAUAAAUGUAUAUUUACAUGCAGUCAACUUGUUUUAAAUAGAAGUAGAUUUAUUUAGUGCUAUUUAAAAAAAAAAGCAGUUUUUCAAAUAUUGAAAUAAGUAUGUAAGUGUACUAAAGCACAUAGUUGGAAGGAUAAAAUUGGCGUAUUGAAACAUCUAAUGAAAAAUCUAAUCUCUUGGAUACUUUUCAGGAAAUACUACUUAGAGAGGAUAAUUUUGAAAGACCAUCUAAUCUGAACUUUUUAAACUACAUUUGAUAGGGGAGGUGGAUGCACUCCUGAGUAACACAGAAGAAUCAGGAAACAGUAUCACUCUAAGAAGGAGCAGGGAAAAACAUCAGAUUUGUCUCAAAGGAAUUAAAGUUUCUUAAAGAAUGUUGUUGACAGCUCAGCUGAAAUGCUUAAAGGUUCCUUAAAAAUAGGAA